GGGCGCAUAGCUCAGUGGGAGAGCACUCGCCUUACAAGCGAGGGGUCGUUGGUUCGAAACCAACUGUGCCCACCA
rnacentral:tRNA from 1 species